UUGAAAUAGUUACUCUAUUUAAAAUGGAAUUGUAAUGAAUUACAUUUCCAAAGUAAUCUUCCCAACACUGCUCAGUACAGCGUGAUUUUCAGCUCAGAGUUGGGUCACAGCUAUAUUGCGUGUGUCACCAGAAACGAAACCAAAGUUCUGUGAGGCCAGACCGGUACCGGGCGUUACGGGAUGCCGUCGAUAAGAAAUUGCUGCAGUUAGUACAGCACGCUUUCGCGGGGGAGCAUAGUGAUUGGGCGGUGCCACCUGUAUGCAUUUCGAAGAGAGAUGAUUCGGUGCACAUGUAUAUGCGCAUAAGGUGAGACUUCUUUUCUAUGCUAAUGGGUGAAAAACAUUUUAUGAAACUGGAUUUGACGCAGGCUAAUACACAAUUGUAGUUGGAUGAGAAAAGUAAGCCAUUUCUCACCAUUAAUACACAGAGAGGUCUGCAUGUCACCAUUUGAAAAGUGUGUGGUGUGGCAACGUGUAUACUAAUGUCUCCACAUUUAACACAAUCUUAUAGUACGAAUGCCCAUGAACUCCUUGUGUAUGUCGUCCAACAAGGCCGGCACAUAUAUAGUGAAGAAAUCCUGGUGUACAAUGUGCACUCACUUCACCUCACAGCUGAUGCCACCACAUAUGGAUCAUUUGACACAUGCAUUGUGCUACCUGCACCACCUGAAAAAGAUGGUUAGAUCGGGAAACCAAGCCCUAAUUCAAGUAAUAAAACGGCUCCAAGAACGUUGACAGAUUCAAACGCCAACAACUGAAGAGGAACCAAUACAUAUGAAACAUCCUAAUAAUGUUUACAACAUCCUGCUGUGAAGUUCUAGAGAGGACCAACUCAGGAAAGCUCUUAUGUAGAGUUGAAAUCAUACCUUUCCAAGCCAUGUGAUUCAAAGAUCUAUAAACCUUUAUAUGUGGUCCAUGAAAGAUGGAGGUUCUAGGCAGAACAAGCUUACAAGGGAGGGCAAUGACCCUCGAAGAUGUUCUUUUCUAUCCUCCAUGAUCUUGCUUAACAAAUGAAAUUAAAUAUGUACAUAGUAUUAUUUUUUGUCAUUGUCAUAUAUUUUCUCAUUUCUUAAAUGCUAGUGCUAUUAACCCUCUUUUAAGGAGUGUUUUCCUUUUUGUAAGACAGGUCUGUUUCUACGUAAUUCUUUUUUUAAAAAAUAAGUCAAUUGCUGUGGCUCCUGCCUCCUGGGUAGCGGAGAUGAAAGGGGUAAGGAUACACACAUGUAAAAGUCCAUAAUUUGUGAAAAGUGACACGUGAUUAACUUUUUUGUGAAUUGUUUUAGGUUCUGAAUGUGUAAAUGGACUGUCUCAUCCAGAUUCAGGACAGAGAGUGAAAGUAAACAUGUGACUGCUAUUUCCUAUAUUGCUCCACUGUUAAUGUAAAUAGAUCAUAUCUCAUACUCUGCAUAUUCUGGAUCUUCCUGAAUGUAUAGGUGACGAUGAGGUGCCACUAAAACAGAGGAAAAAAUCAUCUCCUUGAAACCCCUCUCAAAAUCCACCAAGGGCUCCAUAAGAUUCCGAGUUAUAAACCAUCUACUCAAAGCACAACUGCCCCGAGUGUAACUUUUCAGAUGUUUAUCCUUCAAAUGGCAGCGUGAGGAAUGACCAUGACAGCACAGCCUGGCUCCCACCGCAGGUGGCACAAGUCAGCUCCACCUCUGCGUCCUGUAUCAGCACACAGCAGUAGUCAGCGAGGAGUGCCUUCUACCAGGACCAUUACGGCGCAACACUGCUGUGUGUCUGUACCAGCUAGACAAGAGUGCCGUCAGUGGUUGUACAAGUGUGUGUUUCUUUGGAAUACAGCUAGUUGUAGAUGCUGUGCAUGCAGAACCACAGACACCUUGAAAUAGUUCCCCAAGAGGUCUUGCACAGAGACGUGUGGGAUGACAUCCAAGGACAGAUGAUUGAAGUCCUCCACCCUGGUGGACUGUACUCCACAGCUGCCAGAAACCAAGAAGAAAAGAGAUACAAAGAAGCAGAGUAUUUCGUAAAUUUUGAAUCACAAACAACUGGACCUUCGAUAAGAACUGGAUCCCUGACACAGGUGUUUUACUGCUUAAUGUCUUUGUGGCAGCAGUAUGCAAGUGCUUCAGCCAGGUAUUUAAAACCAAUAAAACCUGCAGGGUGUACCUGGCACAAGUCUUCUGGCACAGCAUCUCAAAGCCCAGGUUUCCCUCAGCAGGACAGGUGUAGAUAGAUGUCCUCUCCCAGGCCUGGAUUACGUUUCCCAGUUCAUUCAGCCUGUAUAUCAGGCAGCUGAAGAACUCAUGGGCAUCCUAGAUGACUUAGGGGGGAUGUCCUGUGUCACCACUGGAGGGGACUGGUGCUCCUCUACACAGCUAUCGGUCGAGGAGGUGCUAGAUGUCAGUGACUUGGAGGAAACGAGAACAAAUUCUGUUUUAGACAGGGAAACCAAGAUACUGCUGUAUUCUAAAAUCACACUGGAACUAUCUCUGAUCUGUGUACCUCCGAGUUGACAACGGAGAGGCUGGGACUCUGGCCGCUCGAGAGUGCAUUGCUGUCUCCAGAGUCCCUGCAGUCACCUGACAACCCUCCGUCUUCGUCAGAGCUAGAACAGCCAGAACUGCCACCGUGAGCGGAGAGUUCAGGUAUGAAAGUGACUGAAAAAAGUUAGAGCUCUAAGGAAAACUGGGGCACUACC